rnacentral:rRNA from 1 species
GCCAUGGCGGCGUGCCUAAUACAUGCAAGUCGAGCGGACAGAUGGGAGCUUGCUCCCUGAUGUUAGCGGCGGACGGGUGAGUAACACGUGGGUAACCUGCCUGUAAGACUGGGAUAACUCCGGGAAACCGGGGCUAAUACCGGAUGGUUGUUUGAACCGCAUGGUUCAAACAUAAAAGGUGGCUUCGGCUACCACUUACAGAUGGACCCGCGGCGCAUUAGCUAGUUGGUGAGGUAACGGCUCACCAAGGCAACGAUGCGUAGCCGACCUGAGAGGGUGAUCGGCCACACUGGGACUGAGACACGGCCCAGACUCCUACGGGAGGCAGCAGUAGGGAAUCUUCCGCAAUGGACGAAAGUCUGACGGAGCAACGCCGCGUGAGUGAUGAAGGUUUUCGGAUCGUAAAGCUCUGUUGUUAGGGAAGAACAAGUACCGUUCGAAUAGGGCGGUACCUUGACGGUACCUAACCAGAAAGCCACGGCUAACUACGUGCCAGCAGCCGCGGUAAUACAUAGGUGGCAAGCGCUG